UUUUAUAUGAGCGCUAUGCAGAUUUACAAAUAGUAACCACAUAUCAGACACUUAAGAGCUCUCCUAGUACCAGCGGAGCAGUUUUGUUAGCACUAGCAUCAAUGCUAGUAGUGUUACUGUUCACAUUUGUGGAUGGUGAGUAACAACUUAGAUAGUAGAGGUUUUAAGUUGAACCAUGAUAGUCUUAGUUUUAUUGUGGACUCUCUAUUUGGUGAGAGAAAACAGCUCUGUCACUGACUACUCUUUGUACUCUGUGACAGGAUUCAUCUCAGUGUUAUGGAAUGUGUUGUUAUUAUUUUCUAUUUUCCUAAUGGUGUGUUUGGUACAAAAAAAAAAAAAAGGCAACACUGCUCAUCACCAAUAGUAAAUUAGAGUGGCGGUGGCAGCGUCAGGCCUCGGGGCUGUUUUUCCUCAGCUGGAACUGGGGCCCAAGACAGGGUGGAAAGAAUUAUGAACAAUUCCAAACAGCAGUCAGUGUUUGAGCAUAAAACUGGCAAGCUUCUGCUUGAAAGCAAUGUCAAGAAAAGCAUAUGGGAACGUCAGAAAUUGAUUUGGCGUUAACGCUUUAAAAUGUGACAGUUGUGUGCUGACUCCUGUUGAGCUUGAGUUUGAAUGUGGCACUCGUACAGGUUACAGGUCACAUUAAUGGUGGGAAAAGUUUUGAAAUUGUUUGUCUUAGCCUCUUGUUUUUUUAAUGUAAUCAAAACCUGGCAUUUGAACAGGGGUGUGCACAUAUUUUGUCUCCUGUAAAUGUGCAACGUCAACUGACG